GACGAACGCUGGCGGCGUGCCUAACACAUGCAAGUCGAACGAAGUGGCGAACGGGUGAGUAAAGCGUAAUCAACCUGCCCUUCAGAGGGGGACAAAAGUUGGAAACGACUCCUAAUACCGCAUACUGAAGGAGGGGAUUGAGUCUGAUUAGCUAGUUGGAGGGGGAACGGCCCACCAAGGCGAUGCUUAGUAGCCGGUCUGGGAGGAUGAACGGCCACAUUGGGACUGGGGCACGGCCCAGACUCCUACGGGAGGCAGCAGUGGGGAAACUUCCGCAAUGGACGAAAGUCUGACGGAGCAACGCCGCGUGAGUGAUGACGGCCUUCGGGUUGUAAAGCUCUGUUAAUCGGGACGCGGUACCGGAAUAGAAAGCCACGGCUAACUACGUGCCAGCAGCCGCGGUAAUAC
rnacentral:rRNA from 1 species